rnacentral:other from 1 species
AUUUCCCUGGGGUGUUUGUGAUUAUAGUAUUAUUUAUAACCAACACUUAUUAAACGGGAGUCUGCCCUCCGACAGUGGCGUGUAUGCUUUAAUUUAUUAAAGAAACCCAUAAGCUGCCGGGAAGACACCCACCUGCGAAAGCAGGUUGUAAAUUUGCUAAACACGGCACCUUGGGGAAAGA